rnacentral:rRNA from 1 species
UCUGGCACCUUCGGUGUCCGAGUUGUAAUUUGAAGAAGGUAACUUUGGAGUUGGCUCUUGUCUAUGUUCCUUGGAACAGGACGUCACAGAGGGUGAGAAUCCCGUGCGAUGAGAUGUCCAACUCUAUGUAAAGUGCUUUCGAAGAGUCGAGUUGUUUGGGAAUGCAGCUCUAAGUGGGUGGUAAAUUCCAUCUAAAGCUAAAUAUUGGCGAGAGACCGAUAGCGAACAAGUACAGUGAUGGAAAGAUGAAAAGAACUUUGAAAAGAGAGUGAAAAAGUACGUGAAAUUGUUGAAAGGGAAGGGUUUGAGAUCAGACUUGGUAUUUUGUAUGUCUUGCUUUCGGGUGGGGCCUCUGCAGUUUACUGGGCCAGCAUCGGUUUGGACGGUAGGAUAAUGACAUUGGAAUGUGGCACUACUUCGGUGGUGUGUUAUAGACUUUGUUGAUACUGCCUGUCUAGACCGAGGACUGCGUCUUUGACUAGGAUGCUGGCAUAAUGAUCCUAAACCG